GGGAACUGUUCCAGCUGCUGGAACCACGCGAAGGGCGGAGCGGGCGGCGCGGGUGGCCCAGCGUCCGGAGGAACUGGGCGUCGCGCUGCGGGGCAAGUUAGGGGCGCACACCCUGGGGCAGGCUUGACCACGUAUCCUGGUUACUUUGAGAAAGGCCGGAGACAGGGUGACUGGAAGUCUCUUCCUAUGGUCCGUACCUGCUCCACAUUAUUCCUGUUCAGCUGCUCAGCUGCGUUCACUCCUGCCCGGUGUUUCCGUCCAAAGGAUGUGCCUUUCAAGAAGAAAACCGAUUCCUGUAACUGGCCACCGAUCCUCCACAUCUGCAGGGAUUCUUAACCGCAUUCCCCCACCUGACACUGUGCCAGUAUUCACAGUGCGGAUGUUCAGAAUCCACAGUGCGCAAGUUCGACCAUCUCCAAUCACAGGAGUGGCCCUAGGGUUAAGUGCUUCGUGGGACAGCGAAAACACACUUCCUUCUCAGUGUCUCACCAAGACAAGAUGAGCAUUCAUACUUCCUGUUUCUCUCUAAGUCUACUUCCCUUAAAGUGACACCAGGUUACUGUGAAAUGUUCUCAUUCCUCAUGCACGGUAGAAUGGGAAGACAGGAGGGAGACACGACAUUUUUUUUGUUGAAAGAUCUAGUUUCUUCCAUCUUUAGUUUUUUGUUCAGAACAACAUUUUUCUUGGCGAGUCCAGGAGAACAAAGAAAAGAUUAACGAGGAGUAUUGGUGAGAGUGCUGAUGGGUAAAAUAGUGAAUAUUGAUGAUGUAUUUAAACAGCAGGGUUUUUAUUUGUUUGUUUUUAGCUAUUCUCAGGACUCAUCCUUAAAGCUAUGUCUGUAGCUAGAAUGAAACGAAUACUGGACAGAAAGUCAGUGUAAGUUAAUGG
rnacentral:lncRNA from 1 species